CUUCUCUGACGAGUCCAAAUUAGGACGAAACGCGCGUCGAAC
rnacentral:hammerhead_ribozyme from 1 species